GGGAACGUACCCUUCGGUUCGGAAUAACUCAGGGAAACUUGAGCUAAUACCGGAUACGCCCUUUUGGGGAAAGGUUUACUGCCGAAGGAUCGGCCCGCGUCUGAUUAGCUUGUUGGUGGGGUAACGGCCUACCAAGGCGACGAUCAGUAGCUGGUCUGAGAGGAUGAUCAGCCACACUGGGACUGAGACACGGCCCAGACUCCUACGGGAGGCAGCAGAGGGGAAUAUUGGACAAUGGGCGCAAGCCUGAUCCAGCCAUGCCGCGUGAGUGAUGAAGGCCUUAGGGUUGUAAAGCUCUUUUGUCCGGGACGAUAAUGACGGUACCGGAAGAAUAAGCCCCGGCUAACUUCGUGCCAGCAGCCGCGGUAAUACGAAGGGGGCUAGCGUUGCUCGGAAUCACUGGGCGUAAAGGGCGCGUAGGCGGCCGAUUAAGUCGGGGGUGAAAGCCUGUGGCUCAACCACAGAAUUGCCUUCGAUACUGGUUGGCUUGAGACCGGAAGAGGACAGCGGAACUGCGAGU
rnacentral:rRNA from 1 species